GUUUGAGAAAAAUCUAGUAUAAUGCAAAAUGACAUCUACAGCGGUUCGAGCAAAAUAUCUUCAAAAAUCCAAACCAAGCCGCAUCAAGAUAGAAUAAAAUGUGGACCAAUAAAUGAUCAAAAAUCUAUCUUAUCUGCCUGCAAACAGUUGAAUAUGAUACACAAGCUGAUAUUAGGAAGAUAAAUACCAGUAAUGGACCUCUUUGUCUUCUUUAUAAGGUCUCUUUUGGUCAAGUUAUACCUCUCAUUUCUUCAAAAUUUCAACAUUUCAGGCCAAUAAAUAAAAAUAAUGGGGUAACUAUCACUCAUUUAUGGUAGAAAUGUUAUAAGAAAUGAGUUAUUGAAGCAUUUUAGCUAAAUGAACAAUCUAUAUAAAAGUUAACUUUCUCCAAGGAGCUUUCAAUAAGUCCUAACGUAAAAAUUAAAUUUACGCCUCGUUCAAAAGAGGGACACAAAAGGCUUCUUUUUUAGUGAACAAUUUGUCGUUACAGCAUUACAAAUAAUUUCAUCUACUUAUAACUAUAAGUAUUUCCUAGGAUAAUGUUCUAUCAUAGCAAAAUAUGAGAAAUAAGGAGAAUCCCCACCUCCCCCCCCAAAAAAAAAAACAAAAAAAAAAAACCAACAACAACAACACUUAGUAUGGUUGUUCUGUUUAAUGAAUAUUCAUGGUUGAGUCCUAUUUCAAGACAACUUUCUCAUAAAAUGUGUUUUGGAGACUCAAUAUACUCAGAGUAUUUCAUUUUUUUGUAUUAUUUCACUUAAAUAGCAAGAAUUUUAACACAUGAGAUUACUCACAAGGUCAAAGGUGCAUGUACAGCUUCCCAUACUAUGUGUAAUACCACCAUUGAUUUUUCCCUAUUAGUCUUUGUUAAAUCUCAUUCCAAAAAUGUGCAGAAUUAUCUGUUUUCAAAUAAAGAAAUACUUGGUAAUACUAUGAGUAAAGUUUUAUGCUGUCCAGUUCUAUAGAAAAAAUUCACAAAACACUUCAUUGCAUAUAAGAAAAUAACCAUCAUUGGAAGUUAACCAAUCAAAUUCUCCUCUUAUUUUAUCUGUGUACAAGGUUUAGUCACCAUGUAACCUCAAGAAUACAAACUUUCUAUAGAACCCCCACCCCAAAAAAAAAAAUAAUGGUGUUUUGAAAUACCCAAGAUAUAUGUUAAUGAAACAGAAAUGGUCUUACUGCAAAAAAUGAAGGAGUAAUUACCUACCACUGUCAAAUUCAAGGGAAUAUUUUUUUUCGAC
rnacentral:lncRNA from 1 species